rnacentral:rRNA from 1 species
GACAGAGGGUGCAAACGUUGUUCGGAAUUACUGGGCGUAAAGGGCUCGUAGGCGGCCAACUAAGUCAUACGUGAAAUCCCUCAGCUUAACUGGGGAACUGCGUGUGAUACUGGAUGGCUUGGAUUCGGGAGAGGGAUGCGGAAUUCCAGGUGUAGCGGUGAAAUGCGUAGAUAUCUGGAGGAACACCGGUGGCGAAGGCGGCACUCUGGGCUGGAACUGACGCUGAGGAGCGAAAGCGUGGGGAGCAAACAGG